AUUUUAGAUUCACUAUGAAUGCAACAUAAUAGAAUGGAUGGCACGAGAAGUCUAGGAGUCUGGGAGAAUAUUUAAGGCAACUUAACCACUGGCUACAAAAGGAACUGAGUUAUCCACAUUGAGCUGAAAUCCAUCGAUCCAUUUAACAAUCCAUUGGCAGGAAAAUCUUAAAAAAUGGCAAGAAGCAUAGUAUAACAAUUGUCUGUCACUUAAUUUACUGAAGAAGAGACAAUUCAUAGAUU